rnacentral:ncRNA from 1 species
CAGCAAGCAGGAGGCAACGAACUGUCACCUGUAUUUGGUCACUUGGGUGGCGGGGAGCCAGUAGUGAGACCGGCCUGAAGAAGG